rnacentral:sRNA from 1 species
AGCUGGGUUUUAAAAGAGGAGGACGAUUUGUAAAAGAUGUCAGAAGGCCGUUUGCGUUAGAACUGGAGCACUGAGUUGAGAUUAUUAGGCGCAAUAUCAAUAUCAGAAUACAAACACACAAAGGCAGACAUGGACCAGCAGUUCGAAGAGUUAUUUUUACUGAAAACACAAAGUUCUCCUUACAAUUUUCCAGUGAAACAUUUAUAAUAGCGAGGAGUUGUAAACAGCUGGAAAUGGCAGCUGGAGCCUCAGAGCCCAAACCAAAGUAGUUAGCAGGUCAAAGGAUCAGGACAGGCAACUGGGAGAGGGUUCUUGUUUAGAGGACACUUGUACAUGGCAGGUGACAAGCAGGAUAGAGAGUCUUAACUAGAAGACUCUCAACCAGGGUGCAGGAGGAGGAAGGAGGCAAUUCAUCAGAAAGGGAGGUGGACCAGGAUCAGAAGUGGGACUUUGGCUGGUGAAAGGGCUCACUGUGUAAAAGCAAUUGGUGUGCAAGCUGGGUGACCUGGACUUGAUCCGUAGAACCCAUACUUUUUAAAAGGCACACCUCUGUAACCCCAGCUCUCCUAAAAUGAGGGGGAGGUAGAGACAGGAGGAUCGAUUGACCAGAAGUUCCAGCACCAGUUAGCCUAGAGUAUAAGCCAUGGCAGAGAGCGUGACACAGUCUUAGAGAACCAACUCCUGACAGCUGUGCUCUGACCUGCCGUCACUGUGUCGGGCACUUGCACAUAUACACAUACACACCAUACACACACGUAUAAAGAGACUGUGUUAAGAGUUCAAAUCUGGAACUCUAAGGAGCAUCUGAAUGUGACGGAAUGGAUGUAAAGGACACGAAGUUCGUGACAUUGGUGUGAGCAGAGAAAACAGGAAGUCGUAGACCUGGAGAAGAGAGGAAGGCCAGGAGGAGAGGGCGUUUCAGUGUGGGGCCUGGACACCCGUGACAAAAGAAGAUGCCCAAUAAGAUGUCCGUGUGCAAAGGCCCACUUCAGGGGAGUGGGCGCUGCAUGGGAGAAGACAUCCCUGAAAAGCUGAGAACUUGGACUGAGGGUGGCUCCUGAGAGACUAGAAGUGGACAUGGCAGCAACACUGCAGGUACCCUUCUUGGAGGCCUGAAGAUGGUGUUCCCUAAUGGUCGAGUUACAGAUAAUUGAGCCUCGAGGAUACAUCAGCUGUGGGAAACAGAGAAUGCCUGUGUCACUCCUGUGUCGUGAUGGUGAAACUGAGGCACAAAGCCUUCUGGGGAUGUGAAUGGGCAUCAACACUAGAGUCAAGGUGAGAAACAGGAAAAUGCUAGCAGGAAUAUUUGCUGGAAUCACAGACUCCUGCAGCUUCCCAAGGAUUUCCUCUUUCAAAUGGAGAUGAAACUCCUCCUACCCUCUUCAGCCCUGAAGCAAACUGGUCAGUAAGCAUCUACAGGCUUUCUUCAGCACUGGGUAAAUGAGUUCUGGGUGGUUCCUCCUGAGAGCCCUCCUCCUCGGGCAGUUGUUCUAAUGGUCAGGCUACCUGUGCCACACCACUUUUAAUAAAACAUCUUGCCUUAUCCUGUGCAAACAGGCACAGUCGGCAGCGAACUUCACAUCGUGGUGUCAUUUAGAAAAGCAAAUAACAGAUUUUUUUUUCCUUCAA